UACGAAGGGUGCAAGCGUUACUCGGAAUUACUGGGCGUAAAGCGUGCGUAGGCGGUUUGUUAAGUCUGUCGUGAAAGCCCCGGGCUCAACCUGGGAAUGGCGAUGGAUACUGGCGAGCUAGAGUACGGUAGAGGAGAGUGGAAUUCCCGAUGUAGCAGUGAAAUGCGUAGAGAUCGGGAGGAACAUCAGUUGCGAAGGCGGCUCUCUGGACCAGUACUGACGCUGAGGCACGAAAGCGUGGGGAGCAAACAGG
rnacentral:rRNA from 1 species